rnacentral:misc_RNA from 1 species
GAUGAAGAACGCAGCGAAAUGCGAUAACUAAUGUGAAUUGCAGAAUUCCGUGAAUCAUCGAGUCUUUGAACGCACAUUGCGCCCCCUGGUAUUCCGGGGGGCAUGCCUGUCCGAGCGUCAUUACAACCCUCAAGCCCGGCUUGUGUAAUGGGCGGCCGUCUCUCCCCCCGGGGGGAGACGCCCCCGAAACUCAGUGGGGAUGUCGCGAUACCGAAGCCUCAGCUAAUGGGUAAACCACAGCUGCAAUGGCCGCGGCCGGCGUCCGCCUUCCACGGUCCGUCCGCCUAGCGCGGGCGGCCUUCUCAAGGUUGACCUCGGAUCAGGUAGGGAUACCCGCUGAACUUAAGCAUAUCAAUAAGCGGAGA